CUUCUACCCGGGGGCUCCAGUGCAUCUGGCUUUAUCUCUGGGGUGCUUCCAUACAAAGGGGACAGAAGAGAUGAUGGAAGGCCUCAGUACUGCAGGAGGGGAGACGGAUGUCAUCUACAAUCACACAAUACAUGGGAGGUCACAGGGUCUCGGGCCGGGUGCAGUGGCUCACUCCUCUAAUCUCAGCACUUUGGGAAGCCGAGAACGCCAGGGUGACGUAACAAUUCAAACCAUGAAGAGGUAACAGAGCCCUUCGCGCGUCUCAACACGUGGUGACGCAGCUAAUAACCUGUGAUGCAUACAUGGGAACAAAUGCAUAGAAAAACUUGUCAAUGACACGGCAAAGUAAAACCCAAAUGAAGCGAGGUGAAAGAAUGGGCUGCAGCGCAGGCAAAACUGCACCACGUUACAGACUGCUCGCCUGGGAUGGAACGGUGGGGAGGUGCGCAGACGGAUGGACAAGCGCCUGGCAAAAUGGAUUUCUUUUCCUAGACUGCUAAUGCUACUAACAGUUCCCUCCUCACAGGGUCGCUAUAACGAGGUAACAUACAGCACUUAGAAGACGGCCUGACCCAGAAUAACACUAAUGUUCACAUGGCUGCGAGUCUCAGACCAAAAUCAAUAGCCGGUAUCUACUGAAACUGCAGCAAGGCGAAACCAC
ensembl:lncRNA DSCR9 Down syndrome critical region 9